UUCUGUGCAUACAUACUUAGUAUUAACUUCGUUGUGGACGAGUAAGGUUGGGAUAGGAUGAUUACCGUUAUUGUUAACAUUUUUCCCAAUAUUCUUCCAUAACCUUCAAAAUCCCUUGUAACUUCGAAGAUGAAGAAUGCGUUAACCCGCACUUCAACAUUCGUACCCAGGCACAGGGAUGGCCUGAUAGUCUCCCAAUUUCACGAGCUUUUGAUAGGCGAAUUAGUUGUAAUGGUCACAGACUAUGUAUGAUGUAUGUAUACGCUUCUCAACAUGACACGCCAACCGAUUUUUAUCAUGGAUUCAUUACAUGCAACGAAAUCUCUGUCAUCCUUUCUUACUGAUAGCAUCCAUGUAACAUUUCUUUGCGUCAUGAUUGGAUGGGUUCAAAGUAAAAAUAUAAUUAGGCUUCAAGGUUUUAUUGGUUUUUGUAUCUCUGCGUUUAACAACUGAAGAUGACUGUCUUCUGUGUUGUUGCGCCUUGUAGUUUGAUAGAAGUUUACCGACGUGAAAACCUAAGUCUUACAUCUGACAAAUUAUUUAUAUUAUUCCGUGACGCUGAUAUUUGUAUUCUUACAUUGUUUUUCAAGCUUCUGCAUGCAGCUUGUGAGUUUGGGUUGGGCGCCGAUGUGAUCAUGGUAGAGAGUCCUUGAAGAGCUGAUCGUUACUCAGCCGGUCAAGACAUUUCCCGCCAUUUGUGGAACGGGGAGAUUCAGUACAUGCCCACAAGAGCCCGCCACCGGUCCUUGUUCUGAGUCAAGUUAUUUCAUUGAAUACCGUGCUUCUUCAAGCUCUGUUUAAUGCCGUCUUUCCAUCAACAAGUGGUAUUUCACCUUGAUAGUUUCUGUGUGAUAAGAUCAAGGAGGGCGAGAUGAACUGGACAUGGAGCACUCAUGCGAAAUGAAAAAUGCAUGCGAAAAUUUAUCUGAAAAUCAGCAUGAAAGUGACUGUUGGGCGACAUGGCUUGAAAGGGGGGUAGUGUUAAAAAUAAUCCGAAAGAAACAGGAUCAGUAAUCAACCCGUGAGUGAAAACAUCGCUGGGAAAUAAUUCAAGGCCCUAGGUUGUGCGCAAUGUACGACGUGCGGACUCUCGAUGGUGAUUAAUGUCAGACAGUAACUUUCUGUGAAACUGCGCAGAAUUGCAAAACUUAUAUUCGGUUGUGACAGACAUGCAUGAGUGUGCACGAAGUAGGGAGGGAGAGGGACAGAUGUCGAAAGUGUAAAUGGGCGGAUGAAGAAGGUCAGACAAUAGAAAGAUUCAUUAAAACGUUGAAGGAUUCUCUGGGAACGUUUUUGGAAGCGGCUUUAGAGGAGUGUGCUGAAUUGCCGAACUGUGCUCGUGGUAACCCAACAGUUGAAAUAUGAUUCUGGUGUCAGAGCUGUUUCAAAUGAAGGUGAAAACGCGACAUGAUCAAUGGGGAUCAUAUUUCCUUCUGGACAAGACGAUAUGAAUGUUGGUGGAAAGGAGACCAGCACAGAAAUUAGGAGCAUGCUGUGAUUUGUCGAAUAACGACGACUUCCGGCACGUCAUCGGCGGGGGUUGGUAGAAAUCGACUAGUUUAUUCUAAUAAAUCUUAUGUAUUUCUUUUAUUCUGUUAUUUGU